CGGAUUGAACGUUGGCGGCGUGCCUAAUACAUGCAAGUCGAACGAAGACUGUAGUAAUACUGUCUUAGUGGCGAAACGGGUGAGUAACGCGUGGGUGACCUGCCCCGAAGUGUGGGAUAACAGUCCGAAAGGAUUGCUAAUACUGCAUAAUAUCCAAGAGAUUAGAUGCUUUUGGAUUAAAGGAGUAAUUCGCUUCGGGAGGGGCCCGCGUCCCAUCAGCUAGUUGGUAGGGUAAUAGCCUACCAAGGCGAUGACGGGUGGGGGACCUGAGAGGGUGGCCCCCCACAAUGGAACUGAAACACGGUCCAUACACCUACGGGUGGCAGCAGUAGGGAAUAUUGGUAAUGUGCGAAAGCGCGAACCAGCAACGCCGCGUGCACGAUGAAGGCCUUCGGGUCGUAAAGUGCUUUUAGAGAGGAUGAGGAAGGACAGUACUUUCUGAAUAAGCCUCGGCUAACUACGUG
rnacentral:rRNA from 1 species